AGUGAACGCUGGCGGCGUGCCUAAUACAUGCAAGUCGAGCGAGCGGCGGACGGGUGAGUAAUGUCUGGGAAACUGCCUGAUGGAGGGGGAUAACUACUGGAAACGGUAGCUAAUACCGCAUACCAUCAGAUGUGCCCAGAUGGGAUUAGCUAGUAGGUGGGGUAACGGCUCACCUAGGCGACGAUCCCUAGCUGGUCUGAGAGGAUGACCAGCCCCACUGUAACUGUAACACGGUCCAGCCUCCUACGGGAGGCAGCAGGGGGGAAGUUUGCACAAUGGGCGCAAUCCGGAUGCAGCCAUGCCGCGUGUGUGAAGAGGGCCUUCGGGUGGUAAAGCACUUUCAGCGGGGGGGCGUGACCCGCAGAAGAAGCACCGGCUAACUCCGUGCCAGCAGCCGCGGUAAUAC
rnacentral:rRNA from 1 species